UAAACAGCUAGCUUAAUUACCAAAAUAACCAAAACAACAUUAAAACACUUUACUAAACCCACAAACUACCAAACUAAAACAUUCUACCGCCCCAGUACGUGAGACAGAAAAGGCACUACCUAAAGCCAUAGAAAAAGUACCGCAAGGGAACGCUGAAAGAGAAAUGAAAUAACUCAUUUAAGCAUAAUAAAGCAGAGACUAAUCCUCGUACCUUUUGCAUCAUGAUUUAGCCAGCCCCCCUGAGCAAAGCGCGCUUUAGUUCAAAGCCCCGAAACUAAGUGAGCUACCCCGAGACAGCCUAUUAAUUAGGGCCAACCCGUCUCUGUGGCAAAAGAGUGGGAAGAGCUCCGGGUAGAGGUGACAGACCUACCGAACUUAGUUAUAGCUGGUUGCCUAAAAAAUGAAUAGAAGUUCAGCCUCGCACUCCUCAACUCAUAAACAUUUCUUAAAAUACGAGCCAGAGAAAUAUGCGACAGUUAGUCGGAGGGGGUACAGCCCCUCCGAAACAGGAUACAACCUCAUCAGGUGGUUAAAGAUUAUACUAGAUAAGAUACACCGCUCUAGUGGGCCUAAAAGCAGCCACCCAGACAGAAAGCGUUAAAGCUCUGGCGGAUCAAAAAUCUAUUAUCCAAAUACUACAUCUAAAACCCCUAAUCAUAUUAGGCCAUUCCAUGCCUGCAUGGAAGAGAUACUGCUAAAAUGAGUAAUAAGAAGGAAACCCCUUCUCCCAAGCCUACGUGUAUGCUAGACCGGACCCCCCACUAGCAAUUACCGAGCCCAAUCAAAGAGGGCAAUGUGAUUAUAUUAAAAAACAAGAAAUUCUCACAUAACUCAAUCGUUAACCCCACACCGGAAGGCCAAAUUAAGGAAAGACUAAAAGAAAAGGAAGGAACUCGGCAAACAUAAGCCUCGCCUGUUUACCAAAAACAUCGCCUCCUGCAAAAACCAAUGUAUAGGAGGUCUUGCCUGCCCAGUGACAAGUUAAACGGCCGCGGUAUUUUGACCGUGCGAAGGUAGCGCAAUCACUUGUCUUUUAAAUGAAGACCUGUAUGAAUGGUGGAACGAGGGCUUAACUGUCUCCCCUUUCAAGUCAAUGAAAUUGAUCUGCCCGUGCAGAAGCGGACAUACAAAUACAAGACGAGAAGACCCUUUGGAGCUUAAGAUACAAGAUCAACUAUGUCAAGAACCCCAAAAUUAAGUUAAACUAAAUAGCCAAUUGAUCCCUAUCUUCGGUUGGGGCGACCGCGGGAGAAAAUAAAGCUCCCAUGCGGACUGGGGUUAAACCCUAAAACCAAGAGAGACAUCUCUAAGUCACAGAACAUCUGACCACAAAGAUCCGGCCUGACCCGCCGAUCAACGGACCAAGUUACCCUAGGGAUAACAGCGCAAUCCCCUUUCAGAGUCCAUAUCGACAAGGGGGUUUACGACCUCGAUGUUGGAUCAGGACAUCCUAAUGGUGCAGCCGCUAUUAAGGGUUCGUUUGUUCAACGAUUAAAGUCCUACGUGAUCUGAGUUCAGACCGGA
rnacentral:rRNA from 1 species